GAUCAUGGUGAAAUCCCCAUUUUUUGAGAACUAGUGAAACCUACAGGCUACUAGUACAAGCCAUUCGGUCAAUGUAAAACCAAAACAAGUGUUGUGUUAGCAUUUCUUUCUCGGGGAAAGGUGUUGGACUCAGGAUCAAAUCUCUGCUGCCAACCAGCCCAGACCCAGAGUUUAAAGUGGUUUGGAUGAGAAGUCAGCACCUUAGGUAAAGGCACUCUGCUGGAAACUAUUGAAGGACUACUUAGGACCUUGUGCAGGUCAAAGCAGCGUCAGCAGUAAGCGGAUACAUGAGCGGCAAAAAAAGGACUGGCUAAACGCAGUCCAACCAACUGACCAGCUCUGGAUCAUCUGAACCUCUAUGAGGUGGUGCAAGCCACGAGUUGCACUUACUGUUACGAUGACAUUUUUUUGGUGCAGUUGUACCUAAAUGUUAGCCUGACAAGCCAGACCCACAUCAAGAUGUUGGGUCUGGGAACACACCAUUGGCAGGGCUCAAUCCGAGGGGU